rnacentral:rRNA from 1 species
GAUGAACGCUGGCGGCGUGCCUAAUACAUGCAAGUCGAGCGAACAGACGAGGAGCUUGCUCCUCUGACGUUAGCGGCGGACGGGUGAGUAACACGUGGAUAACCUACCUAUAAGACUGGGAUAACUUCGGGAAACCGGAGCUAAUACCGGAUAAUAUUUUGAACCGCAUGGUUCAAUAGUGAAAGACGGUUUUGCUGUCACUUAUAGAUGGAUCCGCGCCGCAUUAGCUAGUUGGUAAGGUAACGGCUUACCAAGGCAACGAUGCGUAGCCGACCUGAGAGGGUGGUCGGCCACACUGGAACUGAGACACGGUCCAGACUCCUACGGGAGGCAGCAGUAGGGAAUCUUCCGCAAUGGGCGAAAGCCUGACGGAGCAACGCCGCGUGAGUGAUGAAGGUCUUCGGAUCGUAAAACUCUGUUAUUAGGGAAGAACAAAUGUGUAAGUAACUAUGCACGUCUUGACGGUACCUAAUCAGAAAGCCACGGCUAACUACGUG